GUUGUUUAGGUAGACUGAAUUGGUUUACAUGCCUGACACCCAUUGAUAAAAGCUACGUAUCUGGAUGGAGAACACUGUUGACAGCACUGUCACUGAAUAUUACUCAGAAAUACACAGCGCGUCAUUACUUUGAGUGUCUAUUCUUCAUGCGUUGAAGCCUCCUUGUUAAGGUACAUAGACGUUUGAAGAUUGCACAUUGGCUAGUAUUUUUUUGAUACUAUCUUAAAUAAUCUGAAGGCUGCAACAAUGAUCCAGCAGAACAAUAACAACAACUACCCAUGCCUGGAGAUGUCUGGCUCCCCCAGGGAGGUGCUGCAGAAGUGCCAAAAAAGCAAUCUUUCCUUCACCAGACGCUUGGAGCUUGGGGACAUGCCCUUAGUCAAGGGCCUUCGGGCCUGGGCUGCGUGCUCCAAGAACCGCAGGAGGGCAGCACCUCCCCCCAGGUCCCAGGGAACGUGCCCCAGGCCUGCAGAUGUCUACCCAGUGGGACAGUGGGGCAGGCUGGGUUAUGGUCUGGGGCUACCGCUGGACUCCAACUAUGCCUCCAACCCCAGACAGACAGGCCUGGGGGCACUGGUGACUGUGGCCACGUUGAAGGCCUCUGAGGGAGGUGGUCAGACUCAGACAAGCUGUCUGUUCCUCAAGACGGAGGGUGGAAGGUGCCUCUACUCUACAGGCAGUCCAAGGCCCUGCACUCAAAGUCUGGUCCCUCAGUCCCCCUCCACGCUGGUGGGCAGCUGGCUGAGGGAUAAAGUGGGAGGGGUCAGGGACUCCUCCAUGGUGGGGAAAAUGGGGGUGCAGGAUAUGGGAGGGGCCUUGGGGUCAUACCAGGUCAAAUCGAGGUCAGCCCAGAGGUGGAGAACAUCCUGCAAGCCUGUGGUUUCCAUCCAGGGGAGAACACUCCGGAACAGGGAGAAUGCUGGCGAGCAUACCCUGGAAGGGAGCCAGGAAAGCAGGGACAAAGGAGAGUUUCCCAAAGCUGGUCAGGACACUCUGAGUGGAAAACAAGACCGAGGGAGUACUAGAAGCCCCAAAUGCAGUCACGCUCAGACCCUGACCUGCACCCAGUGUCACGGGCGGAGAGGAGGGCAGGGGAGCAGCGGGGGUCAGAGGGGAGCUGCCUCUGUAUGUGAGCAGGAUCAGUCGAGCUGCGGUGUGGAGGGGAUUAAGGAGAAGGAGGAGGGGAAAGUGCAGGAUGGCACUGGUCUCACCCGGUCAAAGCCCUGUGACUCCUCCCUGCCUCCAGACAAUGCUGACCCAGAAAACUGCAGCAGUGACGUCAGGGACCGGGGAAAGCCAGACAGCCCACGCGCACAGGAGGGGCUGCAUCCUGAAACUUCUUUCAACAAGGAGCACUUCCAGGACAAACUAUGGGACAAAGACAUACAUACUGGAGGCAACGAUGUGGCCAGUGGUAUCAUGAGUCAUGUGGAAGACUUUGAUGGCAUGGUGGGUGCUGUGAUUGGGUUUGUGGAUCAUAUCAAGUCUGCAGAGUGUGAUUCAGAGAGGCUAAGGGGAACCGGGGAGAUAGCUGAGGGGAAGCUGCCCAACAGGUGGAUCGAUAGUCAAACUUCAGAGAGCCACUGCUGCUCUGAGAGAAGCUGCCUCAAAGACUGCUCCACUCAACCACCCAGACCAGUUGAGGGCAGCAUUUCUACUGCUCCUGAUGAGACUGGCUAUGGUCAGAUAAAUCAGGAAACUAAAUCAGAUAGUCAAUACAAUAAGCUUUGUGAGAAAUGUCAGCCAGAAGAAAAAGAUCCUGUGGCAGUGGAUAAAGAAGGUUUACAAGAAUCUGUACAUGGCCUCUGUGAGGAAGAGGAGAUAGAGGGGGAGGAGGGGAUCCAGUCAACAGCACCAGAAAUUAGGGAGCUCUGUGGGGAGCAUGGAGAGAUACUGCCUGAGGUCAGGAGCACAGAUGAUGAGGCCAGGCUGGUAAAGGGAGACAUCAUAUCCCAGAGAACUGAGCGAGGGCCUCACUGGGCAACGGAGGAACAUGAGUGCGAGGAGACAUGUAAUAUGGAAGCGAGGUGUUUUUCAGAUUUACCAGCUAACCUAACUGAAGAGGCCGUAGUAAGGUGGAGGAAGGCAGGGACUAGGCAGUUUAAUUCCCGUUUACAAGGCUCUGCUGUUGCUGGCCCUGCUACCUCUGUCACACACUCGCCACCUAAUCUGGCCUCCUCAAGAGCCAUGGCAACAGGCCUCCCUGCUCCGAAUGGGGGGCAGACAGACGCUGGAGGUGGGUUUCUGGUGCCUCUGCUACGGAGCCCAGGGGAGCAGGAGUGGAAGAGGGGCCCGGACGAGAGCAAGGUGGCCUCCAACAGGGGGUUCCUGGAUGGGGGGCCAGAGGGGGAGGAUGACUUUGGGCUUUUCAUGCAGGCAGAGGAGCAGCUGCCCUGGUACGACAGCUUCACUGCAUCACCCCUAGUGUCUUCUGGGAAAAGUGAGAGUGUUGGUUGGACAGACAGCUCAUUCCAACAAUCAGAGGAUGCCUGGACAGCCUUUCCAAAGGAUAUAGCGGGAGAAAGGCAAGACACAAGAGAACAGUGGUGGCCCACAAAUGCUGUAGAGGAGACAAGGGGCAGAUUCUCUGCCACGCAAAAUGUGAACAAAGUGUUUGUGGAGGCCUUCCCGUCUCUGUCUACUCCCCUGUAUGAUCGUGAUGCUGUUCCCACACUCAGCCAGCUCCUCAGAGGCGUCUUGGAUCAUGAAAGCUCUGCAGAAGAUCAUGGCUUACUCGAUGGGUUCCAUGACUUGAACAAGAUGUUUGGCUUGAAAUAUAAGAGGGCAAAUGCUGUUUCCCGUGAACGUCUUCUACAGUCGCUACAUUUGGGCCAGUGUAACACGGAAAAUAUGACUGGGCACCGAGCAGCCAACUACAGUCCCUCUCUUGGCCUCCCCUCGUCCAGUCAGCAUGCACAGGCCUGUGGGAAGAGACGUUUAUCGUAUGUCAACAAGAACAUCAUGGAAUAACCAAAAUGUCCACUUUCCCUGAACUUCAACAACACAUUUAGCCUUUUUCAUGCAUGUCCAUGCCAAACCACUAAUGGGACACAGUCUUCAUCUCCAUGGGGAGAAAUAACUAAACAUUUCACAAGAUUCAGAACUCGGAGGAUGCUCUCCUUGGGCCGACUGGACCACCUGACUAUAUGGUGAUCCUUAACAAUGCCCUGUUUUGCUUUGCCUUCGCUGGAGUUAGAUCACCGAUGCAUACCUGUGACAAAUUUGAUCAAAUUAAGCACUAAUUGUAAUUUUUGUCUCACAGAUAUUUUUAAAAUACAUGCAAAUGUUUAACAUUCUUAUAAAUCUUAUUCUUAUGGACUAUAGGAAAUGUUAAAGUAAUUAGUGUUUGCCCGGAGAAGUGGAUGUCUAUACCCCCCCCCCCCCCCCCUUUGUUCACUCCACCCUCUUUCUCACACACACACUGACAUGGACACAAACAACAAACAACAAACACACACUAUCCUCUCCCGUCACGUGAUCUGGCCCAAACGUGCCGGUGACAACUCUGGAGCAGAAUAUACUGUAGGUUUAGCAAACAUUGGAGCUCACAUGGAUCACAGCUCCUUUUCUUAUUAUCAUAGUAAAUAAUGACCAUGUUUUCUGAAAUGAUAUCCUUUAAAUUGGGGGUGUUUCUGGCUGUCAGAAUACAGUUGUUUUGUGCUGGCAAAGAGAAAAUGUGUUAUUUUACCAGUACACGUUUGUUUUAGAUCACAAAAAGCAGUCAAGUCCUAUUUAGAUUCUAUUUGUUUCUCUCUUGAUUGUUGUUUGUGGGUAACCCAGGGCAAAUCAGUAGGCCUACAGAAAAUGUAGUGAAUGUUUGUCAUUUGUACAUAAUAUGUAUUCUUCAAGAAAAAUGCAGAAUUGAGUUGUCCAAAUUGAUAAAACUACAUAGUCAACUUGUUAAUUGAUGUAAUAAAAUGAUACGUUGAUUACUGUUUUCCAUCCUCAAAAGCUUUUGCUAAUGUUAUGAUAUACUGUAUAGUUUUUGAAGUACCUAAACAGUCAUUUUAUUUGGGUGUUUGAUGCAAUACUCACUAUAAACCAAAACAGGAAACAACAAAAGAAAGGGGAGAAAAUAGUACUCUAUGGGCUACACAUGUCAGUCAAUUAGAAUGGUCUACGGCGCUACAAAAAAAGUUUCAUGGGUCAAAAGGCAACCACACCGGC
ensembl:lncRNA